rnacentral:lncRNA from 1 species
AGAUGUUCCUAUAGGCUUUAUUAUCACACAUUCACAAAAUCAAAUUUAGUCAGCCAAUACUGAUUUAGGGCCUACUAUGUGCAGGAACCUGUAUCUGCAGACAAAAAAAAAAGAAUAUAGCUGAGUCCACAGAGAGAUCUCCAUAGAGAAUGACUUCCACAUGAGGACCAGGCAGUUACAUGGAUCAGAGAAGAGCACAGGUUUCUGCAGUUAACCUUCUGGGGGAAACUCUGAGAUGCCCCAAGACAUCUCCAAAGGAAGACGAAGAGAAGUAAGGGGAACCAGUAGGCAGGGGCAUCCUCUUCUGCCAUUCUCCUUGUAGGCUGGUCUUCACUUCUGCUGCUGGGGCUAAUUCAGCAGCUUCCAGAGCAGCAGCAGCAGCCUCGUCGUCUGCGGCGCCGGGAAGGUAGGCAGCAGCCUCCAAAGCAUCCAGUAGAACUAGACCCACAGCAUCCUGAGGAUCCGCAACAUCCUUCAGAGUUGGACCCACAGCAUCCUCCUGAGCUGGACCCGCAGCAUCCUCCUGAGCUGGACCCGCAGCAUCCUCCUGAGCUGGACCCGCAGCAGCCACUAGAUGAAGGAGCUGGAGUAGGGGCUGGCAUAGGGGUCGAAGAAGAGCAUUGGGGAUAGCCUUUGACAGGAGCCUUGGAAGACAUCUUUCUACCGUUUAGGUAAACCUGGAAGAAAGUACCAUAUGUAAAACACAAGUUACUUUUUUUCCCUUUCCAGACCAGGAACUCGGGCAUUCUUGAGAUAUAGCACAAUUAGCAUGUUAGGCUCAUUGUAUGAAAAGAGUCUCCUGAGUAAUCUUCCAGCAAUAUGCCCCUCUGGUUAGAUCUCAGGACCAUAAAUUGAGAGCUGAAAGGGUAUGUAGAGACACUAUCUAGCCUAACUCACUUUGGAGGAAACUAAGCCCUCGGGAAGUGAAAUGACUUGUCCACAGUCAUAUGGAUGGUAAGUGACAGAGACAGGCUCUAUUUCUAGAGAAGAUAUUUUCUACAUGGAGUCAAUAAUUGGCCACUAACCCCAAAAGGUCUUGAUGGGUGGUACAAAAUGAAAUAUUGUGGAUAUUACUAUAUAAAUAUAUACAUAUAAGGACAAACCUUUAUAGGCAAUAUACAAUUUAAUAUGUAUAUUACAUUACAAUCACAUAACAUAUUGCAUAUGUACUAUACAUGCAUAUAUAUUUAUGCAUGUAUUCUUAUGACUAAAAUAAAGAAUGGAGUGUUUUAGACA